GACGAACGCUGGCGGCGUGCUUAACACAUGCAAGUCGAACGGAAAGGCCCUGCUUGCAGGGUACUCGAGUGGCGAACGGGUGAGUAACACGUGGGUGAUCUGCCCUGCACUUCGGGAUAAGCCUGGGAAACUGGGUCUAAUACCGGAUAGGAGCCAUUUUUAGUGUGAUGGUUGGAAAGUUUUUUCGGUGUAGGAUGAGCUCGCGGCCUAUCAGCUUGUUGGUGGGGUAAUGGCCUACCAAGGCGGCGACGGGUAGCCGGCCUGAGAGGGUGGACGGCCACAUUGGGACUGAGAUACGGCCCAGACUCCUACGGGAGGCAACAGUGGGGAAUAUUGAACAAUGGGCGCAAGCCUGAUGCAGCGACGCCGCGUGGGGGAUGACGGCCUUCGGGUUGUAAAAUCCUUUCGCUAGGGACGAAGCUUUUUGUGACGGUACCUAGAUAAGAAGCACCGGCUAACUACGUG
rnacentral:rRNA from 1 species